AUAGAAUGUGGCCUACUAGUUAGCCCUCCUAUGUUGGGUUGUACUUCCACUAAUUUAUAUUAUUAAGUCAUAUUGUAGUUUAUUCAUGUUUAAAUUAUUUUUGGAAAGAUGAGUUGGGUUAGUUGGCUGGCCUCGUCUUCGCGAGAGCUGUCAUUAUGAUCAGUGCGGGGUUUGGGUCGUGACAAGAUGGUAUUAGAGCCUAGGUUACUAGGUCUCACGAGUCAUGAGCAGGUUUAGUAGAGUCUCGCGGAGAGGCGCCAUCACAAGGGUCGGUUUGGGUUUGUGACAAGUUGGUAUCAGAGCUUAGGUUACUAGGUCUCAUGUGUCAUGAGCAGGUCUAGUAGAGUCUCGCGGAUUGGUACGGAGACGCUUGUAUUUAUCCUCGAGAGGCUGCGGAACCUUUAGGAAAACUUUACAUUCUUGAAUUCUUAUCGCGCGUCCUUGAUUUAGCUUGAAAGAUAACUCUUGAAAUUCCUUCAACGCAUUCGUAUGCGCGCAUGAGCGCUUAGCGCCAGAUGUGCCUUGAUGGCUUGUGAUUUCCCCCGAUCGAGGGGCGAGAUAUGAUCUUUGUGAGCUCGAUAUUGAGCCAGAUUGGAGGACUUGAGGCAGGAUCUUUUGCCUAUGGCUUGAGCACCAAGGUGCUGAUUGUGUGAGCAGGUGUUUUAAACUUAUAUAUUCGGUAUUGUCCCUAUUAGUGGAAGUGACGACUGGGUAGCUAUGUGAUGAGUGUAUUAGUACUGCAAGAUGUAUCUAUGUGACUUGGAAGUGACGAGGAAGACCUGUUGGAGGAUAGAUGAACUAUUAAGUGCAUGAUUUCUAUUGUGAUUGGAUGUGUAGCUCCGAGUUAUGGGCGCGUGAAGAAUAUCUUCAUGUUUCGUGGAGUAAAUUUCAUGAUGCGGUAUAAGUUCAAACUCAGGAAGACUAAGUGGAUGUGUUAUCUGUAUGAUGGUGGAAGGUAUACGGAAAUGUUAUAUUGAGGCGGAUCAGGUGGGUUAUCUCCUGCGGAGUGUUCUGAAGUGGUGUGAUCCUCAUGUGUACGUUAAAAGAUCUCAUGUGUAAUUGAAGGGUACGUGUUGAAAUUUGAAAUUUUGGGUUGCUUAAGAGAGCGAGCUUAACUGUUGCGGGGAUG
rnacentral:lncRNA from 1 species